AUGUUUUUAAUUAAAUUGGGUGCUUGAGAACUGUCAGAAUCGAGGUGGGCUGCAAUCUCUCCCGUCCUUGUGGCUGAUUUGCUUGGCUCCAUCCACUGUAAGGCAUUUCACGAGCAAGCAGCACUUACGAGUGCUGCCCGCUAAGUUUGUAAAACGUUGUCUAAAAGUUUAGAAAGAUUCAGUCCCUUUCCAAAGGAAUGUGAAGAUGAAGUCACAGACCAUGUGUUUAGGGCUCUCUGGCCUGGCAGGAAUUCUGCACCCUGGGAAGAGUUCAGAGUGGUCUGCAGGCAGGUUCGCAUGGGAGUUGUCCAGCCUUUGGGACUCUAAGCCUUUAUAUCUAACUCUGAGAUAUGGGUUAUCAACCUUUUAAUUGAUUUUUUUAAAGUUUUUCCUGCCUUCAAAAAGGUUAUCUGUUUAAACAUGUCCUGGGUAAUUUUGUGUAUCCAUAGAGUGGGAAGGGAGAUAGGUUGACGUUAAUGUUUUGGGUGCUCUCCAUGGAGGUUAUUCUGGCACUUUCUACCGCCCUUUGGCCACUUGAUUCGAAGAGCCAACUCAUUGGAAAAGACCCUGAUGCUGGGAAAGACUGAAGGCAGGAGGAGAAGGGGACGACAGAGGAUGAGAUGGUUGGAUGGCAUCACCUACUUGAUGGGCAUGCAUUUGAGCAAGCUCCGGGAGUUGGUGAAGGACAGGGAGGCCUGGCGUGCUGCGGUCCAUGGAUCACAAAGAGCUGGACAAGUUGUAUCUGAACAACACAAUGAACUGAACAACAACCUCAUCACCGCCAUUUCAAGUUUCUCCCGCCCUCCGGGGCUCCUUACUAAAACCAACGUCCUCAUUAAGCUUUUUGGGUCCUUCAGCGAGAGGUGGUGGCUCUUCCUCCAUGACCCCCAGUGGUGUUUUGCUUGUAUUUCUUACACCAUAAGAAAUUUCUUACACCAUUUCUUACACUCUAAGAAGAAGAGUUGUUUGGGCGCUUCUGUUGUGUCCUCUGACAGUACGUUUUGUGAAGACUUUAUUUUACUAUAUUCUUAACAACUCUCACAUCACCCGGCAGGCUGGAGUAACUGGUCUUGAAUCUGAUCGAGAACCUUGAGCACAGGAGAUGCCUAUCAUCUAGUUGGCCUAGAGGCAGGCCUGUGGCAAAGCUGGGGCCAAGAAGUGAUUCUCAACAGAGAGAACUAAAAAUGAAGCUGGAUAUGCAGUGAGUCUCCAGAGACUAUGUCUUAAGAAGUCACCGAAGCCUUGAUCUUUCUCUACAUGAAAAUUAAAUCCUCUUCGGAAAAUAUCAUAAAGUCAAAAGUCAGCCUAAAUAUGGAAGAAACUAUUUGCAAGGCAAAUUUUCUUAAUUUACAAAGAGUUCAUUAGGUCAUUAAUAUAAUCCCAUAAAAGAAAGGUAAAUGAGACAGGAAAUUCACAGAGAAGAAUACAAAUCAAUGAAAGAUGUAAGAAAAUAUAUCCACAUUAUUCCUAUUUAAAGAAAUACAAACAAGAAACGGAAAAAGAAGAUGAAAAGCUUUAUGAAGAUAAUGAAAGGAAGGUUUUUGAUGAGCAGCUGCCGUGGAAACGGAGCGACGUUUUCUGAUUGUUGCAUCUCUCAAGAACCUCAGCAAGAAUAAGAAAGUGGUUCCGUUUCCUGAAAAGGAACCAAAUGACAUUCUAGAGGAAAAACACACACCUGUACUACUAGACACCCCAGCUGAGAAAGAAGACCAGAGAGACCCACCAACAGGACAGCAGUCACAAGAGUCAUCACCAAGACAGCCAGACGUGAAACCGGAAAAGCAGGAAUCAGUUGAACGGUCGUCCUUGGGACAACCGUCCCGGGAACAGCUGACUCAGGGAGAAGACGAAGAGCAAGAAAUGCCAUGAAAACAAAGUAUCAGCCGUAGCUGUGAAGAACAAAGUCUGAAGCUAGGAAGGAUCAAAAGGCAAAUGAAAAUCACAUUAGGCAUUGUUUUUUUCACAUAAUGCUGAAGAGGUAUGGCAGUAGGGUAUUACAGUUGUGAAUUUCAUAUUUUGGUGCCCAGACAUAAAGUUUUCAAACAAUGAUUAAGACUAAAUGUAUCUGGAAUUCUUUCUUCUGCUCCCUGAGUGUGAAGCUGGGAGGGAGUGGUUGGUGAGAUUGAAUGGCCUAGAUCAUCCCUCUUUCUUAGAGCCUCACCCAUAUCUGGCAUUCCAGAGUGACUCAGCCAUCCCCGAAAUGAUACAAAUUUGCAUAGUUAUCCAUAAUUACUUAUCCCUAUUUAAAAGUGGUUUCAGACAUAGUUAUAA
ensembl:lncRNA